CCUACGGGUGGCAGCAGUAGGGAAUCUUCCACAAUGGGCGAAAGCCUGAUGGAGCAACGCCGCGUGGGUGAAGAAGGUCUUCUGAGCGUAAAACCCUGUUUUUAGAGAAGAAAGUUCGUGAGAGUAACUGUUCACGUUUCUACGUUAUCUAUCCGGAAAGGCACGGCUAACGACGUGCCAGCAGCCGCGGUAAGACGUAGGUGGCAAGCGUUAUCCGGAUUUAUUGGGCGUAAAGGGAACGCAGGCGGUCUGUUAAGUCUGAUGUGAAAGCCUUCGGCUUAACCGGAGUAGUGCAUUGGAUACUGGGAGACUUGAGUGCAGAAGAGGAGAGUGGAAUUCGAUGUGUAGCGGUGAAAUGCGUAGAUAUAUGGAAGAACACCGGUGGCGAAGGCGGCUCUCUGGUCUGUAACUGACGCUGAGGUUCGAAAGCGUGGGUAGCAAACAGGAUUAGAUACCCCGGUAGUC
rnacentral:rRNA from 1 species